ACAACACAGGAGACAAAAGGUCGACUCUCAAUUCUCAUUCAGGAUUUCAGUUUUUGUUCCUAAUAUCACAGUGAUUCGGAUUUCGGAAUCGGAGGUAUAUCAGUCGCACGGAAUCGGACUAUCGGACUAUUGGAGAAAUUAUGCCUCCCGUUCCUAAAUACAAAUACCCAUCCGGCCAUAAAAAACGUAAGAAGAGGAAGCUAGAGGAAGAGAAAAGAAAGGCGGACGACG